UACGUAGGGGGCAAGCGUUGUCCGGAUUUAUUGGGCGUAAAGAGCGUGUAGGCGGCUUUACAGGUCCGUUGUGAAAACUCGAGGCUCAACCUCGAGACGCCGGUGGAAACCGUAAAGCUAGAGUCCGGAAGAGGAGAGUGGAAUUCCUGGUGUAGCGGUGAAAUGCGCAGAUAUCAGGAAGAACACCCGUGGCGAAGGCGGCUCUCUGGAACGCAACUGACGCUGAGACGCGAAAGCGUGGGGAGCGAACAGG
rnacentral:rRNA from 1 species